UCACAGUGAACCACCAGCAUUAACACAUUACUCAGGUUUGCAGCAAGAUUCUGAAUUGGUACAGCAUCGGCCAGAAGUUUAUUUUAAAAAUCCUAGGACAGGGUUAUGGGAAGGACCUGCAGAUUUACUGAUGUGAGGAAGGGGUUAUGUUUGUGGCAUUACAGACAAAGAACCCUGAUGGAUACCAGCAAAGUGGGUUCAUCUCUGGCUAGAAAAGGACACUCUGAUCCCUAAUACCACUAAUGAACCUACAACCAGCAACACCUGAAAACAUCCAUUGCCCUCAGAGCUGGAAAUGCUUUUGUUAUCCUUGGGUGAGAUUAGAAUGAGUGGGUGUGGAGCACACAGGUGGUGUGAGUUUGAGGGAGGAAGCUUUGCAAGGUGUGGGGUGUGCAGCUGUUGGCACAGCCAAGAAUUCAAUACCUGGGUGGUGUUAUCCCAAGUGACAGGAAGAACAGGAAAUUCCCCUGAAGCUGCUCAAGAAGCACUGAGCUUCUUUGAAAAUCAAGAGCAAUUGGGGCAGGCUAUUCAGUGGUAUCGUAGUGAACUCCAGAAGCUUGAGCAGAAAGAGAGAGAAUAAAAUCAAGGAUAUUGAGUGUGGUAAGGAAAUAUUUAUCCCUAGGACCUGGGGAGUUAGACCUGAUCAGAGGGAACAAACAAAGAGAAGCUGGAAAGAAAGGAACCAGGAAAGAAGAAACAGAGGAAGGGCUCAAAGAGCAAGAGGCACAGUUAGUUCAGAUUUUGUCCCUGAUCUCAGAGGGGAAGGGUUCUUUACCAAUGAGCAAGAUGAAGAACAGCUUUAAAUUAGAGAGGUGGGGUUUUGGGAGAUUUUUUUCUAUUGGCUGUAGUAUGUGGUAACAUCUGUAGUGCAGAGGAAAUUAACCCACCAGGAUGGCACUGACAGAAUAUGUGGCUUACUUGGGCCAAGGCUGCUGGGGUGGAUUCCUCUCGUUUAUCCUUGGCCAUGCCUGGAGAUCCCUUCCGCACAGGUCUAAUUGGUAUCCCAGUGAGUGAUUUUACUGGUUUUGCAAGGUGGGUAGGAGCUAGAGGAAAGCCAUACGUGGAAGCAAAUAGAUCAAGCAUGGAGAAUCAUUGGUGUAACAUCAGCAGAGGUGGUACAAAAUUGGACAGAUGCAAAAGGCUGGGAAUUAAGCCAAAGGGCGAAGGCUUCCAAGCAGGAAACUCAACUACAGGACAACAUGAAGAGAUUGACUGUGAAUGACUGAGGGUUGGAUGAAUGUUUUAAGGGGUGGGCAAUAACUGGAUGGUUGAAAGAUAUUGUAAAGGGAAUUAUGUUAGUAUUAGUAGUCAUUACUUUAUUGCUUUGUGUUAUUCCAUGCAUAAUUAAGUUGGUGACCCCCUUAGUAGGGAACACAGUAAAGAGGGUCUGGCUGGUGCAAGAAGGGGGAAUUGUAGCAAUGUAUUUGAACAACUCAGGCCUCAGUGUGCACCAGCCAUACCCUCUGCAACUGUUCUUAUCAGAAUUGUCUCAGGGCUCUGUGGAAUUCAUCAAGGUGACUGAGAUAUAAACUGUGCUAAAAUAAGCACAAAGAAGCUGAGAAACGGCACACCAGGAUGGCAGGAACUGGAUAACAGGGGACUGUGAAACACCUGCACGGUGACCAAUCACAGAGACUGAGAAAUGGAGGCAGAGAACGAGGGAACGAGACAAAGGCAGGAAGCAAGAAGUGUGAUCUUAGCAGUUUGUAGAAUCCAGAAAAGUGUGUGUAAUGUAAACAAUAAACAGCUUCUGCUUGGUCACACCG